rnacentral:rRNA from 1 species
UACGGGGGGGGCAAGCGUUGUUCGGAAUUACUGGGCGUAAAGGGCUCGUAGGCGGCCAACUAAGUCAGACGUGAAAUCCCUCGGCUUAACCGGGGAACUGCGUCUGAUACUGGAUGGCUUGAGUGUGGGAGAGGGAUGCGGAAUUCCAGGUGUAGCGGUGAAAUGCGUAGAUAUCUGGAGGAACACCGGUGGCGAAGGCGGCAUCCUGGGCCGGUAUUGACGCUGAGGAGCGAAAGCCAGGGGAGCAAACGGG